rnacentral:rRNA from 1 species
UACGUAGGGUGCGAGCGUUAAUCGGAAUUACUGGGCGUAAAGCGUGCGUAGGCGGUUUGCCGUGUCCUGUGUGAAAGCCCCGGGCUCAACCUGGGAAUUGCAUGGGAAACUGGCAGGCUUGAGUUUGGGAGAGGGAUGCGGAAUUCCAGGUGUAGCGGUGAAAUGCGUAGAUAUCUGGAGGAACACCAGCGGCGAAGGCGGCACUCUGGGCUGGUACUGACGCUGAGGAGCGAAAGCGUGGGUAGCAAACAGG